rnacentral:rRNA from 1 species
UUAAGUUAGAAAGGGCGCACGGUGGAUGCCUUGACACUAGGAGUCGAUGAAGGACGGGACUAACGCCGAUAUGCUUCGGGGAGCUGUAAGUAAGCUUUGAUCCGAAGAUUUCCGAAUGGGGAAACCCACUAUACGUAAUGGUAUGGUAUCCUUACCUGAAUACAUAGGGUAUGGAAGACAGACCCAGGGAACUGAAACAUCUAAGUACCUGGAGGAAGAGAAAGCAAAUGCGAUUUCCUGAGUAGCGGCGAGCGAAACGGAAUCUAGCCCAAACCAAGAGGCUUGCCUCUUGGGGUUGUAGGACAUUCUAUACGGAGUUACAAAGGAACGAGGUAGACGAAGCGACCUGGAAAGGUCCGUCACAGAGGGUAAUAACCCCGUAGUCGAAACUUCGUUCUCUCUUGAAUGUAUCCUGAGUACGGCGGAACACGUGAAAUUCCGUCGGAAUCUGGGAGGACCAUCUCCCAAGGCUAAAUACUCCCUAGUGAUCGAUAGUGAACCAGUACCGUGAGGGAAAGGUGAAAAGCACCCCGGAAGGGGAGUGAAAGAGAUCCUGAAACCGUGUGCCUACAAAUAGUCAGAGCCCGUUAAUGGGUGAUGGCGUGCCUUUUGUAGAAUGAACCGGCGAGUUACGAUCCCGUGCAAGGUUAAGCUGAAGAGGCGGAGCCGCAGCGAAAGCGAGUCUGAAUAGGGCGUUUAGUACGUGGUCGUAGACCCGAAACCAGGUGAUCUACCCAUGUCCAGGGUGAAGUUCAGGUAACACUGAAUGGAGGCCCGAACCCACGCACGUUGAAAAGUGCGGGGAUGAGGUGUGGGUAGCGGAGAAAUUCCAAUCGAACCUGGAGAUAGCUGGUUCUCCCCGAAAUAGCUUUAGGGCUAGCCUUAAGUGUAAGAGUCUUGGAGGUAGAGCACUGAUUGAACUAGGGGUCCUCAUCGGAUUACCGAAUUCAGUCAAACUCCGAAUGCCAAUGACUUAUCCUUAGGAGUCAGACUGCGAGUGAUAAGAUCCGUAGUCAAGAGGGAAACAGCCCAGAUCGCCAGCUAAGGUCCCAAAGUGUGUAUUAAGUGGAAAAGGAUGUGGAGUUGCUUAGACAACUAGGAUGUUGGCUCAGAAGCAGCCACCAUUUAAAGAGUGCGUAAUAGCUCACUAGUCGAGUGACUCUGCGCCGAAAAUGUACCGGGGCUAAAUACACCACCGAAGCUGCGAAUUGAUACCAAUGGUAUCAGUGGUAGGGGAGCGUUCUAAGUGCAGUGAAGUCAGACCGGAAGGACUGGUGGAGCGCUUAGAAGUGAGAAUGCCGGUAUGAGUAGCGAAAGACGGGUGAGAAUCCCGUCCACCGAAUGCCUAAGGUUUCCUGAGGAAGGCUCGUCCGCUCAGGGUUAGUCAGGACCUAAGCCGAGGCCGACAGGCGUAGGCGAUGGACAACAGGUUGAUAUUCCUGUACCACCUCUUUAUCGUUUGAGCAAUGGAGGGACGCAGAAGGAUAGAAGAAGCGUGCGAUUGGUUGUGCACGUCCAAGCAGUUAGGCUGAUAAGUAGGCAAAUCCGCUUAUCGUGAAGGCUGAGCUGUGAUGGGGAAGCUCCUUAUGGAGCGAAGUCUUUGAUUCCCCGCUGCCAAGAAAAGCUUCUAGCGAGAUAAAAGGUGCCUGUACCGCAAACCGACACAGGUAGGCGAGGAGAGAAUCCUAAGGUGUGCGAGAGAACUCUGGUUAAGGAACUCGGCAAAAUGACCCCGUAACUUCGGGAGAAGGGGUGCUUUCUUAACGGAAAGCCGCAGUGAAUAGGCCCAAGCGACUGUUUAGCAAAAACACAGGUCUCUGCGAAGCCGUAAGGCGAAGUAUAGGGGCUGACACCUGCCCGGUGCUGGAAGGUUAAGGAGAGGGGUUAGCGUAAGCGAAGCUCUGAACUGAAGCCCCAGUAAACGGCGGCCGUAACUAUAACGGUCCUAAGGUAGCGAAAUUCCUUGUCGGGUAAGUUCCGACCCGCACGAAAGGUGUAACGAUUUGGGCACUGUCUCAACCAGAGACUCGGUGAAAUUAUAGUACCUGUGAAGAUGCAGGUUACCCGCGACAGGACGGAAAGACCCCGUGGAGCUUUACUGUAGCCUGAUAUUGAAUUUUGGUACAGUUUGUACAGGAUAGGCGGGAGCCAUUGAAACCGGAGCGCUAGCUUCGGUGGAGGCGCUGGUGGGAUACCGCCCUGACUGUAUUGAAAUUCUAACCUACGGGUCUUAUCGACCCGGGAGACAGUGUCAGGUGGGCAGUUUGACUGGGGCGGUCGCCUCCUAAAGUGUAACGGAGGCGCCCAAAGGUUCCCUCAGAAUGGUUGGAAAUCAUUCGUAGAGUGCAAAGGCAUAAGGGAGCUUGACUGCGAGACCUACAAGUCGAGCAGGGACGAAAGUCGGGCUUAGUGAUCCGGUGGUU